rnacentral:sRNA from 1 species
ACGGCACGGACGCUCACAUGUCACCGAGGAGCGCCUC